UAUUAUUAUUAUUAUUAUUAUUAUUAUUAUUAUUAUUAUUAUUAUUAUUAUUAUUUAGGGGCUGUGUCGUCUACUGUUCGGUCCACAGUUGAAUGUGUAGUGUGUGUUUGCGUGUGGGUUUGCUUCUCCCUCUCUCUCUCCCUGGUCCUCGGGCUGUUCACAGAAGUGCACGCCGUGGGAGGGGCGUGUCCUGGCGACUGUCGUCAUUGGGAGUCCCUCUUCACUGUUACCGGCCCCCCCUGCAGCUGAUUACCUGACCAGCUGUUGGUAAUCAUCCCUCCCUGCUGGAGAGAGGUAUUUAACCUGGACUCGCGGCGACAGUCGACGUGGGAUUAUUACUCCGAACUGGAUAGCCGAGCGGAGAAGCGAGUUGGGGAGCACACGCACUAAGGGAGCUACAGCACGGGACGCACUGGGAGCAGGAGACGAGCACCAUUGGAAUAUUGCACCUUUGAGUUUAUUGUUGGACUUACCUGUCUGGUCACUGUAAAUAAAGUGCACUGUGGCAUCGAA